AGAGUUUGAUCCUGGCUCAGGAUGAACGCUAGCUACAGGCUUAACACAUGCAAGUCGAGGGGCAGCAUGGACUCAGCUUUGCUGGGUUUGAUGGCGACCGGCGCACGGGUGAGUAACGCGUAUCCAACCUGCCCUUUACUCCGGGAUAGUCUCCUGAAAGGGAGUUUAAUACCGGAUGUGUUUGUCUUUCCGCAUGGGAGCGACAAAUAAAGAUUAAUUGGUAAAGGAUGGGGAUGCGUCCCAUUAGCUUGUUGGCGGGGUAACGGCCCACCAAGGCGACGAUGGGUAGGGGUUCUGAGAGGAAGGUCCCCCACAUUGGAACUGAGACACGGUCCAAACUCCUACGGGAGGCAGCAGUGAGGAAUAUUGGUCAAUGGGCGAGAGCCUGAACCAGCCAAGUAGCGUGAAGGACGACGGCCCUAGGGGUUGUAAACUUCUUUUAUAAGGGAAUAAAGUGCGUUACGUGUAAUGUUUUGUAUGUACCUUAUGAAUAAGCAUCGGCUAAUUCCGUGCCAGCAGCCGCGGUAAUACGGAAGAUGCGAGCGUUAUCCGGAUUUAUUGGGUUUAAAGGGAGCGUAGGCGGGCUUUUAAGUCAGCGGUCAAAUGUCGUGGCUCAACCAUGUCAAGCCGUUGAAACUGCAAGCCUUGAGUCUGCACAGGGCACAUGGAAUUCGUGGUGUAGCGGUGAAAUGCUUAGAUAUCACGAAGAACUCCGAUCGCGAAGGCAUUGUGCCGGGGCAUAACUGACGCUGAGGCUCGAAAGUGCGGGUAUCAAACAGGAUUAGAUACCCUGGUAGUCCGCACGGUAAACGAUGAAUGCUCGCUAUGGGCGAUAUAUAGUCCGUGGCCAAGCGAAAGCGUUAAGCAUUCCACCUGGGGAGUACGCCGGCAACGGUGAAACUCAAAGGAAUUGACGGGGGCCCGCACAAGCGGAGGAACAUGUGGUUUAAUUCGAUGAUACGCGAGGAACCUUACCCGGGCUUGAAUUGCAGGUGCAUGAGUCAGAGACGGCUCUUUCCUUCGGGACUCCUGUGAAGGUGCUGCAUGGUUGUCGUCAGCUCGUGCCGUGAGGUGUCGGCUUAAGUGCCAUAACGAGCGCAACCCUUCUCCCCAGUUGCCAUCGGGUAAUGCCGGGCCCUCUGGGGACACUGCCAUCGUAAGAUGCGAGGAAGGUGGGGAUGACGUCAAAUCAGCACGGCCC
rnacentral:rRNA from 1 species